GAUGAACGCUGGCGGCGUGCCUAACACAUGCAAGUCGAACGAAGCACUUCGAUUUCCUCGGAAUGAAAAAGUGACUGAGUGGCGGACGGGUGAGUAACGCGUGGGUAACCUGCCUCAUACAGGGGGAUAACAGUUAGAAAUGGCUGCUAAUACCGCAUAAGCGCACAGUACCGCAUGGUACCGUGUGAAAAACUCCGGUGGUAUGAGAUGGACCCGCGUCUGAUUAGCUAGUUGGUAAGGUAACGGCUUACCAAGGCGACGAUCAGUAGCCGGCCUGAGAGGGUGAUCGGCCACAUUGGGACUGAGACACGGCCCAAAACUCCUACGGGAGCAGCAGUGGGGAAUAUUGCACAAUGGGGGGAAACCCUGAUGCAGCGACGCCGCGUGAGUGAAGAAGUAUUUCGGUAUGUAAAGCUCUAUCAGCAGGGAAGAAAAUGACGGUACCUGACUAAGAAGCCCCGGCUAACUACGUG
rnacentral:rRNA from 1 species